UACGUAGGGGGCAAGCGUUGUCCGGAAUCAUUGGGCGUAAAGCGCGUGUAGGCGGUCCGGUAAGUCCGCUGUGAAAGUCGGGGGCUCAACCCUCGGAUGCCGGUGGAUACUGUCGGGCUUGAGUACGGAAGAGGCGAGUGGAAUUCCUGGUGUAGCGGUGGAAUGCGCAGAUAUCAGGAGGAACACCAAUAGCGAAGGCAGCUCGCUGGGACGGUACUGACGCUGAGGCGCGAAAGCUAGGGGAGCAAACGGG
rnacentral:rRNA from 1 species